AUUGAACGCUGGCGGCAUGCUUUACACAUGCGAGUCGAACGGUAACAGGCCUUCGGGUGCUGACGAGUGGCGCACGGGUGAGUAAUGCAUCGGAACGUACCCAGAGGUGGGGGAUAACGCAGCGAAAGCUGUGCUAAUACCGCAUGUGAUCUGAGGAUGAAAGCGGGGGACCGAGCAGCAAUGUUUGGCCUCGCGCCUUUGGAGCGGCCGAUGUCGGAUUAGCUAGUUGGUGGGGUAAAGGCCUACCAAGGCGACGAUCCGUAGCUGGUCUGAGAGGACGACCAGCCACACUGGGACUGAGACACGGCCCAGACUCCUACGGGAGGCAGCAGUGGGGAAUUUUGGACAAUGGGCGCAAGCCUGAUCCAGCAAUGCCGCGUGCGGGAAGAAGGCCUUCGGGUUGUAAAACGCUUUUGGCAGGAACGAAACGGUGUCCGCUAAUACCGGGCGCUAAUGACGGUACCUGCAGAAUAAGCACCGGCUAACUACGUG
rnacentral:rRNA from 1 species